rnacentral:misc_RNA from 1 species
AAGUCGUAACAAGGUUUCCGUAGGUGAACCUGCGGAAGGAUCAUUAAUGAAUCAAUCGACGCUCUUUCUAGAGGUCGGCCUUCAUUUCCUUCACACUGUGCAUACUACUACUUUUUUUACACCUUUUUUUAACACUUCAGUUAUAAGAAUGUAAACAGUCUCUUAAUUGAGCAAAAAACAAAAUAAAA